GGAAUAUAAAAACUCGUCUCUUAAUUUUUAACUAAAAAAGCUAAGAACCGGCUCUUAACUUUUUUAGUUAAAAGUUAAGAGACGGGUUCUUAUAUUCC
rnacentral:pre_miRNA from 1 species